AGGCAUAAGAAUUUCACCAAGUUCCAUCUGGCCAGGACGGAAUUGUUUAGCGUGAUCUCCAGUCCCUAGCCAGAACAGAGAAGACCCUGCUACAAGACCUGUGCUAUGUAUGAAUCAGGCCCCUGGCCAGGAUUUUGAGAAGGACACAGGGACUGGAUCUCACAUCUGACGUACCCAGAGAGUGCUCAAGACCUGUUCCCAGAGAUUCAUUUGCUGCUGGUGCCAUUUGAAUCAGUGGAUAUGGCGUGGGUUGCUACGUCAGUGGUGGAGGGAUCCCCUCACACCCAAUGGUCUUGGUGGACAUCCCCAGGUUCCUCAACUACAUUCAGGAGAACUGGCAAAAAUAGUAUGGUCAUUUCUGUUCCAAUGAAUGCAUUGCCAUCUUCUAUGCUUUGCAUACAUGAGAUCAGGUCUCCUUCUUUGGAUUCGGGGCAGGCGUCAACGAGUACUGGCACCAUUACUGGAAAGAGAAAAGGUUCAUCCUCCAGAGAGAAAAGAUCCCCAACAAAAUGUUUGGGGCUAAAAUUAUCCGCCCACUUGAACUCAAAGGGAGAGCUAGAAACUGUUGUGACUUGGCCUUCACACCUUGACAAAUCAUCUGGAAAAAGUUAUGUACUAAAAGGGACUGUGUGGAAGAGGCCCUGACAGAGCCAAUAGCUCUGAGGCCUGUAGCAGGGGCUGUACCAUGAGAUGGGGAUAGAAAAUACCUAGGGAGAACUCAAUAGCAGGGUCAAUAUUUCUAAGUCAUUUGAAUAAACAUCCCACUAGGACAAAUGUACCUUUGAUU
rnacentral:lncRNA from 1 species